UGGUGGGACACUGGUUCGGU
rnacentral:siRNA from 1 species